rnacentral:rRNA from 1 species
UACGGAGGGUGCUAGCGUUGUUCGGAAUCACUGGGCGUAAAGCGCGUGUAGGCGGCCCACUAAGUCUGAUGUGAAAGCCCGGGGCUCACCCCCGGAAGUGCAUUGGAAACUGGUGGACUUGAGUACCGGAGAGGAGGGUGGAAUUCCUGGUGUAGCGGUGAAAUGCGUAGAUAUCAGGAGGAACACCGGUGGCGAAGGCGGCAUCCUGGACCGACACUGACGCUGAGGAGCGAAAGCCAGGGGAGCAAACGGG